ACACAUGCAGUCGAGCGGUAACAGGAAGUAGCUUGCUACUUUGCUGACGAGCGGCGGACGGGUGAGUAAUGCCUAGGGAACUGCCCAGUCGAGGGGGAUAACAGUUGGAAACGACUGCUAAUACCGCAUACGCCCUACGGGGAAAAGAGGGGAUCUUCGGACCUUCUGCGAUUGGAUGUACCUAGGUGGGAUUAGCUAGUAGGUGAGGUAAUGGCUCACCUAGGCGACGAUCCCUAGCUGUUCUGAGAGGAUGAUCAGCCACACUGGGACUGAGACACGGCCCAGACUCCUACGGGAGGCAGCAGUGGGGAAUAUUGCACAAUGGGCGCA
rnacentral:rRNA from 1 species